GGGGGGUGGGGGGGGGGAGGGCACACGGAGAAAAGCGCAGAGGUGAAUGUCCGCGGAGGAGUGCGGUUCAGUAACCAGAGAGACGCUGGCUGUUCCUGGCAAGGCAACGAGGGCCCUGUUCCACUUGUUUCGGAGCUCUCAACACUAUCUGGACCGAAAGCGACAGCCUCAAACACUUUUUAAGCACUUUAGACAAGCCUGAUGUCUACACCAUCAUUUUUGGAGAAGCUGUCAACUCUGACGAAGGAAAGCGGAAGGCAGGCGAGCCGCACCUGCGAAAAGGCCUGGAAUUCCAGGGCCAACCCCGCCCAUCUGUUCUUUUCUAAGAGUACUUGGACCCUGCUUGAUUGUUUGAGAUCCAGCGAUUGGAUUUUCUGAAAGUAAAUCUCAGAAAUGGAAAUUCACGCUCAUUACCUUGCACAAACAUUUUUAAUUUCUGAGUGGCCUGCAUUGAGCCUAGAGGCAAGAAUCCUUGCUGGAGCCAUAGUCUAGCCUGUAAAAGCCGAAAACCUUCCGCUGAGGGUAGAAAGGCAAUAAUUUAGACACACACAGAAAAUUCCUAGCUGGAAGACAAGAAAAAACGCUCCAAGUGAAGUUAGAAAAUUUACCUUUGUAUAAAAAUCCUUUGAACAUUAUUGGACGGUUACUUUCCCUCGGGCAAGAGGAUGACUUCAGGGCGAGACCAGACCCUCGCGGGUCUCCUAAGGCCCCACCCCGUGACUCAGUUCGCCUGCGUGCAGCCCACCUGCUCCGGGUUCUCCCUCCUGCGGCCGCCAGAAGGAUGCACCCUAUCGCAGUCAGAGGCAGCUGCGUACAGCCAGACAUUGCUCCUUCCCACGGACAAUGGGCAACCCCCAAAGAAUUAUAGCCUCUGUGCCAGGACGCCCUGCUACCUGCAUUGCAGGGGGGGGACAGGGCACUUCCACCGAGCUGCCCGAAGAACGUGCUAUGUUGUCUGUAAAUAAUUGCAAUUUUAUUUCAUUUAUGUCAAUGCCAUUUUGAAGAGAAGUGGUUAGAACAGACAUCCUUUCUCCAUUCCUGGUCUCAAAGAGAAAGCUUUCCAUAUUUCACCACUAAAUAUAGUGUUUGCUGCAGGUUUUCCAUAGAUUCUCCUUUUCCCCUCCUUAAGCAGGUUCCUUCGUAUUUCGUUGUCUUCUGUUGUUCCUGUUGAAAAGUCAGAUGUCAGUCUAAUUGUUGUUCCUUUGAAUGUAACGUGUGGUUAAGAUUUUUUUUUUUGUCUUUGGUUUCCAUCAGUUUUAUGAUUUACCUAGAAAUAAUUUUCUUUAUAUUUAUCCUGUUUGGAGUUGAUAGAGUUGAUAGAGUCUGUGGUUUGAUGUCUUCUGUCGGUUUUGGAAAAUUCUCAGUCUGUCUGUCUUCAGUUAUUGCUUCUCCCUGUCCUCUCCAUCAUCUCUUCUCCACUCCAAUUACACUUAUGUUGGAUCUUUACACUGUAUUUCACAUGUAUCUUAUCCACUUUUCUGUAUUUUUCAUCCUUGAGAAGAUUUAGUCUGGCAUUCAGACCAAAUUUGACUUUCCUUUUCUCUUCGGCAUAGUCCUUCUGGGGUCUCAUUUGAAAGUCUGGGAUAUUUACCUGAGCUCUUCCUCUCUGGCAGGCCCUGGAUUCUAAUUUUGGCAUCUUCACCACCACAAGACUUACAUUAGUUUUCCGGGAUUGCCAUAACAAAUUACCACAAACUUGGUGGCUAAAAACAACAGAAAUUUAUUUUCUCAGUUCUGGAGGCCAGCAAUCAAGGUGUCAUCAGGGCCAUGCUCCCUCUGAAGGCUUUAGAGAAGAAUUCUUCCUUGCGUCUUCCAUCUUCCAGUGACCCAGGACAUUCCUUGGCUUGUGGCUGCAUCACUCCAGUCUCUGCCUCCAUUGUCACAUGACCUUCCCCUGUGUGUCUCUGUGUCCUCAUCUCUUCUUACAAGGACACCAGUCACUGGAUUUAGGACACACUCUUAAUCAGGAUAAUUUCAUCUCAAGAUACUUAAUUAAUUACAUGUCCAAAUAAGAUCACUUGCUGAGGUUCUGGGCAGACACAAAUUUUGGGGUUCCACUGUUCAACCCACAACAAGACUCUUGAAAGUUCUGCUUCAAUUUUUGACCUCUUUAUUGCAAUUUUAUGAUUUGUUUUUCAGCUCUGUGCAGCAAAGACCUCAAGCAAAACCCACACAGAAUGUCAAGCUCGUAUCCUGCAGGUCAUCUUUUUUUUUUUUUUUUUUUUUUUUUCCCUGGGAUUUUUACCCCUCAAGUACUAACUACCUUGGCAAUCCUACACUCAUUUUUUCUUCUUCCCAGUUUAAUGAGACUGAUGCAAACUUCAGGUUGCUGCUUUUCAUUCAUCCUCUGUUGCCUGUGCUUCAAACUGGCAAAUGUUCCAAGGGAAAAAGUAGUGGCCAGUGUGGGGUCCAGCUCAAUGCACUUCUCUCCACUCCAGGAUCUCUCCAGGAUUGCGUCCUGGGUGUCUCAGUUGUUCUCUGAUGCGUUCAGCAGCUGUCUUUCAUAUUUUAUCCAGCUUUUAUAGUUGCUCCUAGCACAGAGUUUGCUCUGACAUUUCUUCAAAAAUAGAAAUAGAAGUCAAAUAUGGCAUUUCUUUUGUUCUAGGCUCAUGUCUCCACACUGCCAGGGGAACCUCUCGGGUGCAUUGCUUUUGGAAACCCACUGAUUGAGGGAUGUGCCUCUUUUCCCCCCUCCUUUUUACUGUGUUUAGAGAGAGACACACCUGUAAGAUCUCCUUUAUUCUCUGUGUCUGUGGCUGCUCAGGGCAGGGAUGCUUCUGCAAUGUAAAGAAAUAAAUAGUGAGAAAGGACUUGGGAAAUAGUGGGACAUAUCAGAGCUACGUGGGGCUCUUGUCACCUUCUUCCUGUAUAGGAUCCUUAAGAAAGUCUUGCUAUCAGGCAUACAAAAGGGAAAACUGCAUGAAUAAGCCACAUGGUAUGACCUUUCCGUGCUGAGGUCUGAGCUACCAGAGCAGCGGAGGAGUUAUGUCCAUCAGGGUGUGUUUCUCAAAGUGAGCUUUUCGAGAAGGUGGUAUGGACGGUACACAUUUUAGCUGAUAUAAUCCUCAAAUCCUAUAGUAUAGGUAUUAUUACUACUCUAUUUUAUAGAUGAGGAAAGUGAGGCUCAGGGAAGUAGUUAUCCUGCAGCCUACCUCUGGGUAGAUGCUGUUUAACCUAAAGCCCUCUCUUACAUUGCCUUUCAUUUAUUCCUUUGGUAAAACCACAUUUUAAACUACAAAAUGCAAACUUCUAUGGAACUGAACUCAAUGAAAUGAAUGAGACUUUUUGUAAUUUCUAAUUUUUAUAUAAUUUCAAAUUUACAGAAGUGUUGCAAGAAUAGAAUGAGGAACUCUCUUAUACCCCUUACCCAGAUUCACCAGUUGUUUACAUUUCCUCCCAUUGAUUAUUCAUUCUCUCUCUCUGAAUCAUUUGAAAACAAAUUGGAGUCAUCAUGCUGCUUCAACCCCCAAAUACUUUAGUGUGUAUUUUCCUAGAACAAGAAUAUUCUCAUACAUAACCUCAUAACAAUUAUUAAAAUUAAGAAAUUUACUGUGGUAACACUACUAUUGUUUAAUCCAGAGUUUAUAUUCACAUUUCAUCAAUUUUCCCAGUAAUGUUCUUUAUAACUUUUUCCCCUCAGAUCCAGGAUCCAAUCCAGGAUCACGUGUUCCAUGUAAUUGUCAUGUCUCAUUAGUUUCCUUUCAUCUGAAACGGUUCCUCUGCCUUUCUGUCCGAUCUUCCUCAUGAUUAGCUCCAGAUAGUGCUUCACUGCCAUUAGUGCCGUGUUUUCAUUGCAUCCUGCAAAAUGGUGCAUGACUUUCAUUGCCCCAUUGCUAUUGAUGUUACAUUUGAUCAUUUGAUUAAGGUGAUAUCUAUCAGGCUUCUCCACUGUAAAUUAAUCCUAUUCCUUUUUGUAAUUAAUAGGUAUUUUGGGGGGGAGGUACUUUGAGACUAUAUAAAUGCCCUGUUCCUCAUGAGACCCCACUGGGGCUCCCAUGUGUCAGUUCUCUCUCUCUCUCAUCCCUUUAUCUUACUUGGUCUGUUUUUCAUUUGGUGGAGCACAUCCUCAAUUAGCUUCCUGAGAAAGGAUGCAAGGGAAGUCAAAUUUUUGAGAUUUUUGACUUCUGUGUCUUCAUUCUACCCUUAUUCUUGAAUUGCUACUUUGACUAGUUAUAGAAUUCUAGAUUGGAAAUUUUUCUUCAGAAUUUUGAAUGCAUUGUUUUACUGCCUUCCAGUUUCUAAUGUUACUGUUGAGUAGUUGAUGUCAUUUGAAUUUCUAAAAAUGUGAACUGUUUUUUCCUCUCUGAAAGUUUAAUAAAUUUUUUAAGUCUUUGGCGAGGGCUUUUCCUCCCAUUCAUCACGCUGGGUACUCUCUGGCCUGUUCAGUCUGGAAGAUCAUGCUCUGUGGUGGUGACAGUUGUUUGGGUAUUCUUUCGUUGAUAAUUUCUUCUUCUCUGAAUUAUCUGUCUUCUAUAGAACUCCUGUUGUUGGAUGUUGACUUCUGAAUUGAUUUUAUGAUUUUCUUUUAUUCUUUCUCAUCUUAUUUAUCUCUUUGUCAUUUUGUUCUACUUCCUGGGUAUAUUUUCAACUCCAUCUUCUAACUGGGCUAUUGAAAUUUUCAUUUUAGCUAAUGCAUUAUUACUCUCCAAGACCUUACUCUUGCUCUCUGACUGUGCCCUUUUUCCUAUCAUCCUAUUCUUGUUUCAUGGAUACAUUAUAUUUCCUUUGAGAAUUAUGCUCAUAAUUUUUGAAGUUUUUUCCAGCCACCCACAUUUGCCUCUUUUUUUUAUGUUUGUUUUCUGCCUAUCAUGCUAGAGGUCAUCUCAUGUUAGAAUGCUAGAAAGAAGGUCUCUAACAUGAUGUUAGAGGAUGAUGUCUAAUGUGAUAAAACAGAAUAAAAAAAGAGAAGAAAUGAACAAAAGGGAAAGACCUGGUCUGUCCACAUGUCAGAGGAGGAAUCUGACUGGAAACUCUGUGGAAUUUGGUGGGACAUGUGGGUCUUCAGUGAGAGUUGAUUGAAAGGCUAUCUGUUUUUUCCAUUGGGAGCCCCAACUAUUAGUAUCUGUAAGUCUUUCUACUGGGGUCAUUUAGUUUCUCCAGGACAAAUCCUCCAAUUUCUCCACUGGGGGAAAGACAGUUCAUUUCCAGUGUUCUUGGAGCUAAGUGGCAGAACAUGGCUGUUCAGCAUAUGGAUGUUCACUUAAUUCUCUAUUUUCCACCCAGUAUCCUGCUGCCAUCUUCCAUUCUGCCUAGGUUCCCUGGGUUCAGGGCUUCUGUAAAUGGAAGAUUUUAAGACAAAAGCAUUUAGAAACCAAGCUUACUUGAAAAAGAUCUGCAAGAACUUCCAGGGGUUAGAAAGACUUGGAUCAUCAAAUGAAAGUACAACAGGUAUUUAAAGGAAAAAAAAAAUCCAUAAUAUUACCAAGGCUACUGAGAUUACAGCUAGUCUGCACAUGGCAGGAAAACAGCAAAUUUAUCACAUGAUUAUCAUAUCCAGGAAGGUCCUGACAGAUCUCCAGACAGCAGCAUUGCGAAAGUCUGGGAUAAAGUUGUUUUGGCUACCGAGUUAGGAACUUACAGGAAAGACUUGAUCCUGUUUUAGUUCUUUUGUCUCAGGUGUGAUGUGUUUUUUCUUUCUCUCUAUGGGAUGAGAUGUGCAUGAUUGCUGAUAAAUGAGAUGCCAUUUCACCUUUACAGUUCCAUCCACCAGUCAAGUUUCUGGCCCUAAGGUACAUAUUUAACCACAGGAGUUUGUUUUUAUGAUUUUAUAAAAUUCAAUAUUUAUUAAUUUGAUGUUUUGUUUUAUUUGACUAGUAGUUUUAUUUACAUAGGUGUAAAAGAGGUGUUAAUUACUAAUAAGAAGCAGCGGCAGCACUCCUUAUGUAUGGUUAACAAAAUUAGAGUCAUAUUGAUUCUAAGACCUAAGUUAACUUUUGUCUGGAUGCUCUGUCCAUCCCCUACUCAUACCUGUCUAGAGAACUUAUUAUUACCAGCUCAUCUACUAAGAACAGGAACCAAGGACCAACCUUUCAUCUCCACCUGGUUUUGCCUGCAGUGCCUACAUUCUUUCUCAAGUUUGUCGAUACUUCGUCUGAUCAUGAUUCUGGGAGUUGACUGGGGUCUGCUGGGUGGUUCUUCUGCUGCAAAUGCUAUUGCCUGGAGCUGCAAUCAUCUGUGGACUCGACCGGACUGGGACAUCCAAGAAGGUUCACCCCCAUAAGAUAAGAUCCCCGGGGCAGGACUGGUUGCACCCGAGCUUCCUCUGGGGGAGUACCCUGGAAUUUAGAAGGCCCCGGGGGCUCUAGUCCUGAAAGCCAGGCCCUGGAAAGGAACAAUUGGGAGGCAAAGCUGGAAGCCAGUUCCAAAGUGUUGCACGGCAGAGACAUCUAG
ensembl:lncRNA